AUGAAAUGUUCUGCGAAGCAGACGUGUGGCCUGCCGAUACUUCUAGCGCUCUGCGUCCCCGAUCCCGGCGGCCCCGCCCAUAGCCAUGUGAUUUUUGGGUCGAUUCCACCUGAAUCGUGCCUCUCUGACCCUUCUAUCUCUCCCUGGAUCGAGAAAUACGGAUCCGCAACAACAUUGCGCCACCGGCCCCCCCUUCCCUUCCUCUUUUGUGUGCUUCCCAAUCCAUCCCGAGAUAGACGCUGCGGAGGUUGGCCUGCUAGCAGGGCGCGGGGCUGGCGAGCGUCGAGGGGUCGCAGCAGUAGAGGGGGAGGUCAGACAUGGCGGGGAGUAGGCGGCGAGGUGCGCGGCAAUGAAGGCGUUCCGCUCGGCGAUCUCUUCCGAUGGAGCGGGAGGUGGUUGGAGGAGGAGGAGGCGGGCGCCCCUGCAAUUCGCGAGGCCGAGGAGAGCAGCGGUUGGCCCCACAGCGAGGCCAACGAGAGGUUGAGUCGCUCGAGUGCCGGGAACAAGAAGAUCGGCGGGAGCAGCAGGAAGUUGGGCGUCGACGGGUCCCCGCGCAGCGCCAUCGCGCCCUGCGUCACCCGGUCCGCCGCCAGCAGCCUGCCGCACUCCAUCGAGGCCCGGUGCCACGACCGAGGGUCGCCCAGGAAGCCCGGGAGUGGACAUCCAGGAGGCGACGUGACAGCGAAGGCGACAAGAACGGCAUCGCAAGUGAGUUCCACCACUGUUGGAACCUUCUUUCUCCAUGUUCAGUUGCACAUCUUAUCUCUGCAUGUCCUAAGCUGCUACUCCAUGACUAAUAGAGCAAGGUUUUGGUUAACGAGUGAGGCAAUUUUACCGAGGGGGACGGGAAAACGUGGUUACCACGGUUACCGGGAAAUACCGAGAAUAUUUCGAACGAAUUUUAUAGUUGAAUUUUGA
rnacentral:rRNA from 1 species